UUUUAGACACAAAAAUAAUUUGUCUGCAAAAUUAUACUUUUAAGGAUAAAAUGAAAGAAUUUUAACAAAUAAAUAUUUAAUCAUGUUAUUAUAUUUUUUAGACAAAUUUAUUUGGUUGUAAAAGAAUCAGUCACUCUCACCUACAAUUUUAAUUGGUCCCUAAUAAACCAAAAUCAUACAUUAUUUUAUUUUAUAUAUUGAUUUUUUAUCUCAAAUAGAUGGGACUAUCUAAAAAAAAAGCAUCAAGUUCUAUAUUUCAUCACUCGCUCUCUUUCUGUCUCUGUCUCUCAAAUCCCUAAUUUCUUUUUCUCUCGCAAAUGCAAUGGUUCUUCUCUACGAAUCUCGUUGAUUGCUCCUAAUCUCAGCAACAAUUUCAUCCCCGAGGAGUCUCAUAGCAUCUCUCUCCACUGUGAUUUCAGCAUCUAGGUUCGAUCGAUUAAUCGAUUUCAGUCUCAUAGAUUUGGUUUUUAAUCUAUUGUUCGUAUUUAUUCUUUGAAAAUGCUUAUUUAUCGGUGUAAUGUUUGUGUUGAUGAUGUAUUAUCAUAAUAUGAUUCAUUUUUAAUUCGUAUUUGCGAUUGUUUGAUUCGUUUAGAGUAUUAUCAUAAUGCUCUGUGAUUUUGCGAGGCGGAACAAGCGAGGUGAGAGAGAGCUUGAGAAGUUUGAUUUGGACAUACGUACUCUGUGAUAUUAGUCAUCGAGUUUCAUGGCCAAGCAAAUCUGGUAUUGUAAAUUUUUUUCUAGCUAGAAUUGAUUCGGUAAUAUUUAUAUUAGAUUCAAGUUGCUGCAUGAGGAAUGCAUUGAAUUUAAUAAGCUUGGACUUCGGGAUAAUGUUGCUCAGAUAUGCGUGUUGGAGUCAUUGAAUAAGAACAAUAAUAAAGAUAUGCCAUUGAGAUUCAAGGAACUUCAUCAGAAAGGAUAUUGUGGAUAUAUUCAAUCAUUCUCAUGAAAGGCUCCUUUGAAAGAAGUUUGUUUCACUUUCAUAGCAUUGAUUCUAAAGAAAAGAGGUUGUGGGUAAGGUUGUUUUUGAGACCUAUAAUGCUUUUGUGAGAGGGAGGCAUAUCCUUGAUGCGAUUUUUGUGGUCAAUGAGGUGAUGGAUUUUAUAUUGAAAUGUUAUAUUUAUAUAGUGCUUAAAUUAUUGCUUUUGCACUGAUCAUCUCAUUGUGUUUGAGUGAACAAAUGGGUUUGGUAGCAUUUGAAUUGAUCGGAUUAAGCUUAUACAUUCAAUACUCAAUCAUUCAGUAUUUUUGUGGGGACUCAGAGCUUUUAAAUGACAUGUUUUUUUUUAUCAUAUGUUGUAUGUUUCCAUUUUCUUUUUCUGGGUUUAUUUUCUACUGAGUUUGAAAUUCAUACGUAAACAGGUAUGUUUACAAGAGGCAAAGGACAAGCAAGGAAUGGGAACACAAAUGCACUGUGAAAGCUACCUACUUAGAUAUUACUCCAUGAUAUUGAUUUGUAAAGAUUCUGUUUCUUGGAAUUCUCUGAUAGCUGGUUAUUCUAAGAAUGGGAUUCUAAGAAUGGAAUUUUUUGUGAGGCCACUGUAAUGUUUUCACAGAUGCGUGAUUUCUUGAUACAGCCUAAUAAAUAUACUUUUGCUAGCA